rnacentral:piRNA from 1 species
UACGUUUUCUGGUUCUAUAUUUUAG